rnacentral:rRNA from 1 species
UACCAGCACCCCGAGUGGUCGGGACGUUUAUUGGGCCUAAAGCAUCCGUAGCCGGUUCUACAAGUCUUCCGUUAAAUCCAGCUGCUUAACAGAUGGGCUGCGGAAGAUACUAUGGAGCUAGGAGGCGGGAGAGGCAAGCGGUACUCGAUGGGUAGGGGUAAAAUCCGUCGAUCCAUUGAAGACCACCAGUGGCGAAGGCGGCUUGCCAGAGCGCGCUCGACGGUGAGGGAUGAAAGCUGGGGGAGCAAACCGG